AGAGAGAGACAUGCGCGCAUAUCAAUAAGCGGAGGAAAAGAAACUAACAAGGAUUCCCUUAGUAACGGCGAGUGAAGCGGGAAGAGCUCAAAUUUGAAAUCUUCAAGGUUUUACCUUGACGAAUUGUAGUUUAAAGAAGUGUUUUCUGCUGAAGUUUUGGUAAAAGUUCUUUGGAAUAGGACAUCAUAGAGGGUGAGAAUCCCGUAUUUGACCAUUAUUUUCAGCUUUGUGAUACACUUUCAAAGAGUCGGAUUGUUUGGGAAUGCAGUCCAAAAUGGGUGGUAAAUUUCAUCUAAAGCUAAAUAUUGGCGAGAGACCGAUAGCGAACAAGUACCGUGAGGGAAAGAUGAAAAGAACUUUGAAAAGAGAGUUAAACAGUACGUGAAAUUGUCAAAAGGGAAGCGUUUGGCACCAGUGUUGUUUUCUCGAAAAUCAAUUAAAAAUGGCUCGAUUUUGUAUUGCUUGAGACCUUAAAAGCUCACUGUACAUUUUUCGUGUCUUUUUUAAUGCACUUUUCGUUUAACAAGUCAACAUCAGUUUCUUUUGUUGUAAAAGGGUCAUUGGAAGGUGGCUUUCUUUUCGGAGAAAGUGUUUAUAGCCUUUGGCCUCUGCAAUCGGAGAGACUGAGGUCUGCAGCGUAGACUCUUCGGGGUUAGAUACAUUUGUGCUAAGUUAUAGCUUUUUAUAGACAACUUGUUGACUAUAAUUAGUCUUGUAGCUUACUCGCUUAUGCUAUUUUACCUACGCUUAGGAUGUUGAAGAUGUAGCACAUCAU
rnacentral:rRNA from 1 species